rnacentral:tRNA from 1 species
GGGCCCGUAGCUCAGCCUGGGAGUAGCGGCUGCAUGGCAUGCAGUAGGUCGAGGGUUCAAAUCACUCCGGGUCCA